ensembl:misc_RNA
AGGAAACCAGAAGUGUUCUAUUUAUCCCAGAAGAAGUACAGCAAGGGCACCAGCUAGGCAAACUUCCCCACACUGACCAAUCCUGUGACUUGGAAGGACUACAUAUAAAUGUGAAUGAGCAGUUCAAUCACUAUUCUUUGCAAUGCUUGU